rnacentral:tRNA from 1 species
UGGCAGCUAGUAUAAUAUAAAACCCCUAAUUUCGACUUAGAAGCUCCUGGUCCAACAGGGCUGCCAU